rnacentral:rRNA from 1 species
UUGAUCCUGGCUCAGAUUGAACGCUGGCGGCAGGCCUAACACAUGCAAGUCGAGCGGUAGCACAGAGAGCUUGCUCUCGGGUGACGAGCGGCGGACGGGUGAGUAAUGUCUGGGAAACUGCCUGAUGGAGGGGGAUAACUACUGGAAACGGUAGCUAAUACCGCAUAAUGUCGCAAGACCAAAGUGGGGGACCUUCGGGCCUCAUGCCAUCAGAUGUGCCCAGAUGGGAUUAGCUAGUAGGUGGGGUAACGGCUCACCUAGGCGACGAUCCCUAGCUGGUCUGAGAGGAUGACCAGCCACACUGGAACUGAGACACGGUCCAGACUCCUACGGGAGGCAGCAGUGGGGAAUAUUGCACAAUGGGCGCAAGCCUGAUGCAGCCAUGCCGCGUGUGUGAAGAAGGCCUUCGGGUUGUAAAGCACUUUCAGCGGGGAGGAAGGCGUUAAGGUUAAUAACCUUGGCGAUUGACGUUACCCGCAGAAGAAGCACCGGCUAACUCCGUGCCAGCAGCCGCGGUAAUACGGAGGGUGCAAGCGUUAAUCGGAAUUACUGGGCGUAAAGCGCACGCAGGCGGUCUGUCAAGUCGGAUGUGAAAUCCCCGGGCUCAACCUGGGAACUGCAUUCGAAACUGGCAGGCUAGAGUCUUGUAGAGGGGGGUAGAAUUCCAGGUGUAGCGGUGAAAUGCGUAGAGAUCUGGAGGAAUACCGGUGGCGAAGGCGGCCCCCUGGACAAAGACUGACGCUCAGGUGCGAAAGCGUGGGGAGCAAACAGGAUUAGAUACCCUGGUAGUCCACGCCGUAAACGAUGUCGAUUUGGAGGUUGUGCCCUUGAGGCGUGGCUUCCGGAGCUAACGCGUUAAAUCGACCGCCUGGGGAGUACGGCCGCAAGGUUAAAACUCAAAUGAAUUGACGGGGGCCCGCACAAGCGGUGGAGCAUGUGGUUUAAUUCGAUGCAACGCGAAGAACCUUACCUGGUCUUGACAUCCACAGAACUUUCCAGAGAUGGAUUGGUGCCUUCGGGAACUGUGAGACAGGUGCUGCAUGGCUGUCGUCAGCUCGUGUUGUGAAAUGUUGGGUUAAGUCCCGCAACGAGCGCAACCCUUAUCCUUUGUUGCCAGCGGUUCGGCCGGGAACUCAAAGGAGACUGCCAGUGAUAAACUGGAGGAAGGUGGGGAUGACGUCAAGUCAUCAUGGCCCUUACGACCAGGGCUACACACGUGCUACAAUGGCAUAUACAAAGAGAAGCGACCUCGCGAGAGCAAGCGGACCUCAUAAAGUAUGUCGUAGUCCGGAUUGGAGUCUGCAACUCGACUCCAUGAAGUCGGAAUCGCUAGUAAUCGUAGAUCAGAAUGCUACGGUGAAUACGUUCCCGGGCCUUGUACACACCGCCCGUCACACCAUGGGAGUGGGUUGCA